rnacentral:rRNA from 1 species
CCUACGGGAGGCAGCAGUGAGGAAUAUUGGUCAAUGGACGCAAGUCUGAACCAGCCAUGCCGCGUGAAGGAAGAAGGCUCUAUGAGUUGUAAACUGCUUUUGUACGAGGGCAAACGCAGAUACGCGUCUCCGUCUGAAAGUAUCUUACGAAUAAGCAUCGGCUAACUCCGUGCCAGCAGCCGCGGUAAUACGGAGGAUUCAAGCGUUAUCCGGAUUUAUUGGGUUUAAAGGGUGCGUAGGCGGUCGGGUAAGUUAGCGGUGAAAUCCCGGGGCUCAAAUUCGGGCUUGCCUUUGAUACUGUUUGGCUAGAGUGGGGGAGCAGUAGGCGGAAUGUAUGGUGUAGCGGUGAAAUGCUUAGAGA